rnacentral:rRNA from 13 species
CUUGAGAGUUUGAUCCUGGCUCAGAACGAACGCUGGCGGCAUGCCUAACACAUGCAAGUCGAACGAAGGCCCUAGCUUGCUAGGUGUCCUUAGUGGCGAACGGGUGAGUAACGCGUGGGGAUCUGCCCUAGAGUGGGGAACAACCUUUGGAAACGAAGGCUAAUACCGCAUACGCCCUUUUGGGGAAAGGCUUCGGCCGCUCUUGGAUGAUCCCGCGUCUGAUUAGCUUGUUGGUGGGGUAACGGCCUACCAAGGCGACGAUCAGUAGCUGGUCUGAGAGGAUGAUCAGCCACACUGGGACUGAGAC